rnacentral:rRNA from 1 species
CUCGUAGGCGGUUCGUCGCGUCCGGUGUGAAAGUCCAUCGCUUAACGGUGGAUCCGCGCCGGGUACGGGCGGGCUUGAGUGCGGUAGGGGAGACUGGAAUUCCCGGUGUAACGGUGGAAUGUGUAGAUAUCGGGAAGAACACCAAUGGCGAAGGCAGGUCCCUGGGCCGUCACUGACGCUGAGGAGCGAAAGCGUGGGGAGCGAACA